rnacentral:tRNA from 1 species
UGAGUUGUGGCUCGAUGGUAGAGCACUUGCUUAGCAUGUGUGAGGCACUGGGUUUGAUUCUCAGCACCACAU